rnacentral:rRNA from 1 species
AUGGAGAGGUACGAGCUGCUCAAGGACAUCGGCGCCGGCAACUUCGGCGUCGCGCGGCUGAUGCGGAACAAGGAGACCAAGGAGCUCGUCGCCAUGAAGUACAUCCCACGGGGCCUCAAGAUUGACGAGAAUGUGGCGAGGGAGAUCAUAAACCACCGGUCGCUGCGGCACCCCAACAUAAUCCGAUUCAAGGAGGUGGUGGUCACGCCGACGCACCUGGCGAUUGUGAUGGAGUACGCGGCCGGCGGCGAGCUCUUCGACCGGAUCUGCAACGCCGGGAGGUUCAGCGAGGACGAGGCCAGGUACUUCUUCCAGCAGCUCAUCUGCGGCGUGAGCUACUGCCACUUCAUGCAAAUUUGCCACCGGGACCUGAAGCUGGAGAACACUCUGCUGGACGGCAGCCCGGCGCCCCGCCUCAAGAUCUGCGACUUCGGUUACUCAAAGUCGUCGUUGCUGCACUCGAAGCCCAAGUCGACGGUUGGAACGCCGGCGUACAUCGCCCCGGAGGUGCUCUCCCGCCGGGAAUACGACGGCAAGACAGCCGAUGUGUGGUCUUGUGGAGUGACCCUUUAUGUGAUGCUAGUCGGUGGUUACCCUUUCGAGGAUCCUGAUGACCCCAAGAACUUCAGAAAGACCAUUGGGAGAAUAAUGUCAAUCCAAUACAAAAUACCAGAGUACGUCCAUGUAUCCCAAGACUGCAAGCAACUCCUUGCCAGUAUUUUCGUCGCAAACCCUGCAAAGAGAAUAACAAUGAGGGAGAUCAGGAACCACCCCUGGUUCUUGAAGAACUUGCCAAGAGAGCUCACGGAAGCUGCCCAAGCAAUGUACUACAAGAGAGACAACAGCGCCCCGACCUACUCGGUCCAGUCCGUGGAGGAGAUCAUGAAGAUCGUGGAGGAGGCGCAGAAACCGCCUCCUUCCACCACUCCGGUGGCGGGUUUCGGGUGGGCGGAGGAGGACGAGCAGGAGGAUGGCAAGAAGCCAGAGGAGGAAGUGGAGGAGGAAGACGAGGAAGAUGAGUAUGAGAAGCAGUUGAAUGAGGUCCGUGCCAGCGGUGAGUUCCACAUCAGCUAG